CGAAAGCCUGACGGAGCAAUACCGCGUGAAGGAUGAAGGCCUAUGGGUUGUAAACUUCUUUUCUCAAGGAGGAAGAUCUGACGUUACUUGAGGAAUAAGCAUCGGCUAACCCUGUGCCAGCAGCCGCGGUAAUACAGGGGAUGCAAGUGUUAUCCGGAAUUAUUGGGCGUAAAGCGUCUGUAGGUUGAUAAUUAAGUCUUUUGUUAAACCUUCGGGCUCAACCCGAAAUCUGCAAAAGAAACUAUUUAUCUUGAGUAUAGUAGGGGUAAAGGGAAUUUCCAGUGGAGCGGUGAAAUGCGUAGAGAUUGGAAAGAACACCAAAAGCGAAGGCACUUUACUGGGCUAUUACUGACACUGAGAGACGAAAGCUAGGGGAGCAAACG
rnacentral:rRNA from 1 species